rnacentral:rRNA from 1 species
UACGUAGGGUGCGAGCGUUGUCCGGAAUUACUGGGCGUAAAGCGCACGUAGGCGGAUUGUUAAGUCAGGGGUGAAAUGCCAAGGCUCAACCUUGGAACUGCCUUUGACUACUGGCAAUCUCGAGUCCGGGAGAGGUGAGUGGAACUGCGAGUGUAGAGGUGAAAUUCGUAGAUAUUCGCAAGAACACCAGUGGCGAAGGCGGCUCACUGGCCCGGUACU